AUUGAACGCUGGCGGCAGGCCUAACACAUGCAAGUCGAGCGGAGCGGCGGACGGGUGAGUAAUGUAUGGGGAUCUGCCCGAUAGAGGGGGAUAACUACUGGAAACGGUGGCUAAUACCGCAUACUGUCGGAUGAACCCAUAUGGGAUUAGCUAGUAGGUAAGGUAAAGGCCUACCAAGGCAACGAUCCGUAACUGGGCUGUGAGGAUGAGAAGUCACACUGGAACUGAGACACGGUCCAGACUCCUACGGGAGGCAGCAGUGGGGAAUAUUGGACAAUGGGCGAAAGCCUGAUCCAGCCAUGCCGCGUGUGUAAAGAAGGUCUUCGGAUUGUAAAGCACUUUAAGUUGGGAGGCGUUACCAACAGAAAAAGCACCGGCUAACUUCGUGCCAGCAGCCGCGGUAAUAC
rnacentral:rRNA from 1 species